UUAGGUAUUGGUGGGCCUCCCGAACUAGUGCAUGGUGGAUCCCAAAACGUUCUUGCUUCAGAAGUUCAAUGCAAUGGCUCAGGACGAGUGAAUUCUCUUUUUAUCUGAUGGAUAGCCAGAGUGGAAGAUGCUUUGACAGAGUGAAAGCACAAGAAUGUAAGAUUGCAGACAUCACCUGCUUGGGUACUUAUUUGGAAUAGCACGGAGGGAGCCCCACAAACAUAAAUUCUUUGCUUUCCUCUCACUGGGCAGCCAAUCGAUGCUGAUUUUCUUAAUUGCUAAGAAGCGCGAAUUUGUCUUACUCUCUUCCUACUUCCCAAUACUUUCCUACUUAUUCAGAUCCCAAAAGUAUAAGCUUGAGCCCAUCAAACAUGAUAGAGAAAUGAUACGUAAGGCGCAAGUCUUUAUAAAAACGUACAUCUUAUCUUAAAAAGGUGUAAAAAAUCUUUUUUUUUCAGUGUGAUUCAUUUUUU